CCUACGGGAGGCAGCAGUGAGGAAUAUUGGUCAAUGGCCGAGAGGCUGAACCAGCCAAGUCGCGUGAGGGAAGACGGCCCUACGGGUUGUAAACCUCUUUUGUCGGGGAGCAAAGCGAGUCACGUGUGACUCAUUCAGAGUACACGAAGAAAAAGCAUCGGCUAACUCCGUGCCAGCAGCCGCGGUAAUACGGAGGAUGCGAGCGUUAUCCGGAUUUAUGGGGGUUAAAGGGUGCGAAGGCGGAGGUGCAAGUCAGCGGUAAAAUUGUGGGGUUAAACCCAGUACUGCCGUUGAAUCUGGCUGCAUUGAGUGCGCGAGAGGUAUGCGGAAUGCGUGGUGUAGCGGUGAAAUGCAUAGAGAUCACGCAGAACUCCGAUUGCGAAGGCAGCAUACCGGCGCGCAACUGACGCUCAUGCACGAAAGCGUGGGUAUCGAACAGGAUUAGAUACCCUUGUAGUC
rnacentral:rRNA from 1 species